UACGUAGGGGGCUAGCGUUGUCCGGAAUCAUUGGGCGUAAAGCGCGUGUAGGCGGUCCGGUAAGUCCGCUGUGAAAGUCGAGGGCUCAACCUCGAAUGCCGGUGGAUACUGUCGGGCUUGAGUACGGGAGAGGCGAGUGGAAUUCCUGGUGUAGCGGUGAAAUGCGCAGAUAUCAGGAGGAACACCGAUUGCGAAGGCAGCUCGCUGGAACGUUGACUGACGCUGAGACGCGAAAGCGUGGGGAGCAAACAGG
rnacentral:rRNA from 1 species